rnacentral:rRNA from 1 species
GAUGAACGCUGGCGGCGUGCCUAAUACAUGCAAGUCGAGCGAAUGAUGAGGAGCUUGCUCCUCUGAUUUAGCGGCGGACGGGUGAGUAACACGUGGGUAACCUGCCUGUAAGAUGGGGAUAACUCCGGGAAACCGGGGCUAAUACCGAAUAAUAAAAGAGGAAGCAUUUCUUCUUUUUGAAAGUUGGUUUCGGCUAACACUUACAGAUGGGCCCGCGGCGCAUUAGCUAGUUGGUGAGGUAACGGCUCACCAAGGCGACGAUGCGUAGCCGACCUGGGAGGGUGAUCGGCCACACUGGGACUGAGACACGGCCCAGACUCCUACGGGAGGCAGCAGUAGGGAAUCUUCGGCAAUGGGCGAAAGCCUGACCGAGCAACGCCGCGUGAGCGAGGAAGGCCUUCGGGUCGUAAAGCUCUGUUGUCAGGGAAGAACAAGUACGAGAGUAACUGCUCGUACCUUGACGGUACCUGACCAGAAAGCCACGGCUAACUACGUGCCAGCAGCCGCCGUAACAC